GACAAUUGCGCUGCAAGCUAAGUGAAAUUUAGGGUUUGUUACAGGAUCUUGUCGAAAGGAUCAAUUCAGUAGUGAAGAUUGGGAAACAUGUAAUGCAAUUGUGUCAUAAUGGAUCAUGAACAAUUGUGUUAUAAUGGAUCUAGUUUGCGGUUUGAUAAAGUAAAAAUAAGUUCAAAUUUUUUAAUUACACAGGGAAAUUGCUACACCAUCGC
rnacentral:misc_RNA from 1 species